rnacentral:rRNA from 1 species
UACGGAGGGGGUUAGCGUUGUUCGGAAUGACUGGGCGUAAAGCGCGCGUAGGCGGAUCGGAUAGUUGGGGGUGAAAUCCCGGGGCUCAACCCGGGAACUGCGUCCGAUACUGGCAGGCUUGAAUCCGGGAGAGGGAUGCGGAAUUCCAGGUGUAGCGGUGAAAUGCGUAGAUAUCGGAAGGAACAUCAGUGGCGAAGGCGGGUCUCUGGACAGUUCCUGACGCUGAGGCACGAAGGUCAAGGGGAGCAAACGGG